rnacentral:rRNA from 1 species
GAGUUUGAUCGUGGCUCAGAUUGAACGCUGGCGGCAGGCCUAACACAUGCAAGUCGAGCGGUAGAGAGAAGCUUGCUUCUCUUGAGAGCGGCGGACGGGUGAGUAAUGCCUAGGAAUCUGCCUGGUAGUGGGGGAUAACGCUCGGAAACGGACGCUAAUACCGCAUACGUCCUACGGGAGAAAGCAGGGGACCUUCGGGCCUUGCGCUAUCAGAUGAGCCUAGGUCGGAUUAGCUAGUUGGUGAGGUAAUGGCUCACCAAGGCGACGAUCCGUAACUGGUCUGAGAGGAUGAUCAGUCACACUGGAACUGAGACACGGUCCAGACUCCUACGGAGGCAGCAGUGGGGAAUAUUGGACAAUGGGCGAAAGCCUGAUCCAGCCAUGCCGCGUGUGUGAA